CCUUCGUGCCGUAAAUAAACAAUUCCCUGGAGCGCACUGACUUCUUCGUAGGUAGAUAUACGAGGGGUCUAACAACAUGGGGUUUGGAAUUGACCUUGAGUUAACUUGAACUAAUAAGUCCGAGAUUACAAAACUCUAUCACCAAUAAACCUGUAGCGGAUCGGAAGGGAAAGGAGACUAAAAUUAGGUCUCCGACACGCUUACUCAGACUAAACGCAGAAUUGCUACCACUUCACCGUUAUUUUCUGUGUGAUCGUGGUAUUUGACUUGGAGCCGGCCAAUUCGUGCGUCAGAUGUUGCUGCCGUCUACCACUGUUAAGGAAUGGGCCGGUUAAACCAUGAAUGGCCACAUAGAAGACAAGU